GGGGAUUUAGCUCAGCGGCAUAAGCACCUGCCUGGCAAGCAUGAGGUCGUGAGUUCAAUCCCCA
rnacentral:tRNA from 1 species